AGGUGAACUGCGGAAGGAUCAUUGUCGAUACCUGGGAGGCAGACCGCGAACACGUGCCAAGACAUGAUGGGUGCGGGGGUGCGUCCCCCGGCCCCGAACCCCGCCGGUGCGCUGCGCGUGCAUCGUGUGGGCUAACGAACCCCGGCACGGAACGUGCCAAGGAAUACCGAAAUGAAGCGUCCUACCCCCCGCGCUCGUGCCCAGUAAUGCGAUACUUGGUGUGAAUUGCAGAAUCCCGUGAACCAUCGAGUCUUUGAACGCAAGUUGCGCCCGAGGCCUUCGGGCCGAGGGCACGCCUGCCUGGGCGUCACGCAUCGUGUCGCCACCCCCUUCUCCUCCUUGCCCUCUGGCUUGGUGGUGCUUUGUGGUGGCGGAGAUUGGCCUCCCGUGCGCCCUUGUCGYGUGGCCGGCCUAAAUGCGAUCCCCGGCGGCGCCCCGUCGCGACCAGUGGUGGUUGAGUCUUUGACUCGCGUGCUGUGUGGUCGCGCUCCGUGGCGUUGCCGGACGGGCAUCUUGAACGACCCAACAAGCGCCCUGUGCGCUUCCGACCGCGACCCCAGGUCAGGCGGGAUUACCCG
rnacentral:rRNA from 1 species